UUUUCUUGCGCUGGUCAGCCCCGUGCGCAUAGCCUUUUGGAAGGAGAGGAAUAAGAGGCACAACCCUAGCCCUUCCUCGCCGCCAUCUAUCGCUCCCCCGUUCAUCCUCUCUAGCCGCCGCCGCCGCCACCGCCACCCCAAUCUCUCCUCCUGACGCACCCUCUCCUCGCCACCGUCGUCGCAAGUGCCCACGCUGGUGGAUUAGGUGGUUAGAGCGGGAUGUGACAACGCAUCUGGCCGGAGGAGAACGUGGGAGCGGCAUCUCCUAGCGACGGCGCUGGGGCAGGCGAUGCUUCAAGGCGACGGGCUGAGGCGGCGGUGCAGGGAUCCGCUCGGUCUGCUGUUGCUGCUGCGGGCGGACGGGGGAGCGGGUCGAGGUGGCAGCUCCGUCGGUGAUGCCUAGGAACCUCUCCACCAACUUCUUUCAGGGGGAGAUCCUGAAUGGCAGCAUCCUCGGACCUUCGAAAGCAGCUGUAAGCUUAACUCUGACCUAAUCUCAUUCCACUUUAUGUGUCCUUUAUGAUGUCAGAACAUGUUAUAAAUAUAAUGAGUGGUAUCUAUUAACUUGUACCACAAGUCCACAACUGUACUGGAUCAGACUGCUCUGGUGCAUUUCAAAUGAUGCAGGCAUGUCGAAAAUCUGGAGCUUUGCAGGCUGCCCAUCCAGAAGGGUUGCCGUGGAACCCUCGGGUUCUCUGCAGUGCUGCCGCAGAGAAUGAUCUUAUGCCAGAUGGAUUGUUCAGAUAUUUGAUGGUUAUACUGAUAGGAACAGUCGGCUUUUUUUGUUUUCUAAAAAGACAGGAACAGUAUCCAGUAUGAUUGACUUCUUAUGUAACAGCUUCAUUGAGGAGCUCAAAGGUGCUGACUGACUGUUCUUAGGCCAAUAGUUUCAAUUGUUGUUAUAGCAUUUCUAUCGUUCUUCACAGGUUGCGAAAUCAAGCGUGCUAGCGGUGGCGAGCGAUUUGAGCGCCAAUGGCUCAACAGCUGAUUAUCAAUCAAGUUUGUGUAUUUUAUUUUCACCGGCAAUGCUGCAUCCUUUUGAGUUGCAAUGGUUGUAUGGUUCAGAUAGACAAUUUAUCAUUUUUCUUUUCUUGACCAAGUUUAUGCUUUUAUUGAUCAACAAUUAUUUUGAACCACAAACCUAUUACUCUUUGGAGUGGCCAAAUGUGUAUCUUUGAAUCUCCAAGUGCCACCGGGGUGCUAUAUAUAUUUCAUUGGUUCAUGGAUCAUUAGGAGGCAAAUAAUGGUAGAAAUAAUUAGCUUGCAAGUUCUGUAUUGCCAGAGGAGUCAUAAUUCGUUUAGGGAAGCAAAACCAUGCAUGAUAAUCAGGGGGAACAUGCAACAUACGUAGCCGAGGGCUUCUCUGUAGGUAAUCAAGGGAUCCUAAUUCAGCAUUGCUCCUCCAUGUUAGAAUUAAUCAUUAUUGAGGAAAUCGUUAACUGGUAGCUGCUCGGUUGGGUGGCGAGUGGAGGAUUAAUAGGCUAAUACAAAUUAAUCGGCCAUUUAAUCAAUUAAUUGGAUGAUUUAUCAGUUUACUUCCGGUGACCUUAUGAGUAGGGAUUAAUCGGCAAGGUAAUUGGUUAAUCGGACAAAUUCUUGAACAGGGGAAUUAAUCAUUGGGAACUUUCGAUAGAGGUGAUUUUGUUUAGAUAAUUAGUUUAGGCGGUAACAUUUUGAUUGAUAAGGCAUAUGUUUAUUUGCUUUUUCAUUCAGGGAUACACUUAAGUAACCAUCACCAUCAGUAAAAAGAAGGCAUACAAAACAUGAAGUUUUUGCCUUUGUUGUAUGCCUCAUUAGCUGUCGCUUAUUUAUUUCAAGUUAUUAGUCGAGCUUCUUUAUGCUUCCCAUUUCUAAAUAAAAAGUUAAUACAAUAUUAUUGAUGUGUGAGGAGGUGAGAGAAGAAGAAAAGAGGGUCAUCAGUUUUGCUUGAUGCUGACAUGGUCAAGCUAGAGCAAGUUGUCUGAAGCAUCAAGAUGGAGGGCCUUCUUUGGGGUUCUUCUGUGUUGCUGAUACAUGUUUUUUUCUGUCUGCAUAAUUACUGUGUUUUGUAAGGUUGAGGGUUUUCCGACCCUUGCAGCCAAGCUCGCGCCAGUUUGAUAUGGCAUCAAGAAGCUGGUAUAGAUGCUAUGUUAUGAUGUCCAUUCUCCAGGAAGUCACACCACCCUAGGACUCUGCCGCAGAGGAACACUGAAUGCCUCCUGUGAGCACGGACUGCAGAGACAACGAGGACCUCAAGCUUUGUUGGCCACUCUGCAUAGCAAAGUUAUGCCUCUCAAGGUGUGAUGGAUCCAAGAGCGUGUAAGGAGCUUUUCCCCGCUACACCGGCAACAGGCACGCGAGCUUUCCGAUCCACGACAACACCGGUCAACAAGUGGAAUGAUUAGAUGCAGGCUACUAGGAACUCAAAGAAGAAGGGCAUUUUGAACAAAGGAACCUUUAUUGAUCUGUAUGUUCUACUUUUAACUUUCUACUGAAAAUAAAGCUAGGCUACUCAUGAUUUUUUUAGGCAUUUCUAACUUGGCAUAGCAGCACGUGUAGGUGCUUACAAAUUGUCACGUGCAUGCCAUGCUAGAGCUCUCUUGCGUAUUGCAGGGAGCUGGCCACAGCUCAUGUUUAAUUUGUUGCCCUUUCAUCAGUAAGGUUUUUAGUGUAUAGUACUUCUUUAGACUACUUAUUUGGUCUUCACUAAUUAAUGAAGGAGCCCAUCCUGGCUCGAAUCUUUAAUUUUCCAAAAGCUAUGAUAAUUAAUGCCAAGUUAUUUCUCUUACUUUUGUCAAAGAAUAAAAUGUAGUACGUAGUUGUCAAAAUGGAUUUUCGUUGUUUCUUGAACUUUUUACUUCUGUAAAGUACUACUAAUUGGGUAAUACCAGACAAAUUUCUGUGGUGGCAUUUGAUUCCAUUAGUGUAAAGAUGGAACUUACAUGAAUUUCCUGAUAUGGUCAUAAAAUCCUGGUGGAGUGCCCCGUUCAGCUUGAGGUAAUAAAAUUCUGGUGAGAGCCCCAUCAAAUAAGAUAAUUUUUUCCAGUGGUUCUCUUGAUAGAACAUUUCGAACAAAUCCAUGAGUAUUUUGUAGCUAUAUACAUACCAUGUCCUUUGUUUCAUAUUAGUUCACGAAUAGGUCAUUGACAUGAAUAAUUAUUCUCCAAAACAACUAUUUAGUGGUGUGCUAAGAUACUAUUGCUAUUUAAGUGUUGUUAAGCAAAUUAUCUCUGACGCCUGUACUUUUCAGCCAUGUGAACGAACAAAUUAAUUAAGAUCAAGCAUUCUCUUGUUUUUUUAAUAUGGAGCUUUUAGCACCUCUUCACCGAUCAAUUGGGAUCAUUUUUUAUAGCAUGCAGUCAAAUCUUUGUUCCUCAUUGUAUAUUUUUUCAUAGUCUAUUAAAAAAACUGGAAAAUUGAAGAACUGGUAAUCCUUUUGGUAUUCUCAUAUUUUUUUGGUCCACAUUAGGAAAUGUAAAUUCAGUUAUGCUUUCAUCUACAAAUUUUGGGAGGUCAAAAUAGUUACCUUGCUCUCUCUCUCUCUCUCUCUCUCUCUCUCCCCGUCCCUCCCUCCCUUGGGCUAUGUGUGGAUUUGGAAAGGUUGUAUUGCGCUGAACACUUGUGUGAUCUGAUAAAUACACGUGCUCUGAACUGUAAUCAGUCGAAAUUUUUAGAUCAAUUUUAUAUUUUAUUUGUACUAGCAAGUGAAUUAUCAACCGAAUUAUAUGGUGAUCAGACUGAUCCAGAUACUAAUGAAAUUCAAAUGGUGGCUGCAGGAUAAAAGGAGCAAGGAUCAAUGAUCCCAUACAGGUUAAUGAUGAUGAAGACCAACACUUUGUAUCACUGAUUAUUUAGAGAGCCGCAAACGUGCCAGGAAACCCAAAGGUCCAACUAGGAAUGCAAAAAAUAUAUAGACUAAGAGGACCGUUACACAAGGGUCAUGCAUACAUACAGUACAGGGAACACUUGGAACUCCAAUGCAAGUAUCCAAGUGAAUUUGACAUCUCUCCAGAUGAGAUCUGUCUUCUUAAGCGACUGGUUCAUUCGAGGGUACCUGCCAUUAAGGUCUAUGUCUGUAAGAUGAACAACACAUGUAGUACAGGAUAAAGAAUGGUGAGAAUUAAAUUACAUAUUGUCCUAUGCCGCCAUGAUGUACUUUGUCUACCCACCAUAAAUAACUCCAGUUUGUUGUCUCGCUGCAGUACUUCUCUGCUCCAUACACUAGGAUCUUUCUCAAGCUUAACCCAAUCGUUGAGAACAUGUGAAUCAUAACCCCAUGUGGAUGUUUACAGGAACAACUUUGUUUAAUAUAAGGUUAAGAUAAAAGAGUGGCUAUCAACACAAACUGGACGCAAUUCGUCAAAGCAGCCAGAAUCAAGAAAAAGGGAUGUAUUCGUCUGUCUUUGAAGAGACUCGGGUCGUCAGCUGUCACUCACCGUCCAUAACCUUUCAUAAGGUGAGCUCGCUGAUUGCCAAGCGACGGUGACGGUGAUUUUUCAACAGGUCAUAUGACAUUGCGUCGAUCACUCAGGAAAAAGAUCCCAUCCAGCACACAUCAAGGCAUGCCCCAUACGUCUUAUAUUGUUGUGUACAUAGUUUGUUCCUAUGCUUUACAUAAAAAGCAUUGUAAAUAAGUUAUCAUGUAAUGCGAUCUUGCGUUCCUUUUGGUAUGCUAUCAUGAACCAAUGCAUUUUUGGCUUCCAUCAUGUAAACCUAUCAAGCACAAAAGGUGUCCUAUCGUGUAUCCUGCUUUAAGUUGUUUUAAUAUGGGCGGAACUUGAAUUGUUGCUUGCUGUGUUAUGAUUUGAGUGUGUUACUACACUUUUCAUCUGGAUUUCUAUACCCCUUUGGUCAACGGCCCAUCAUAACUGAGACACAUCAUAGUUGUCUAAAUAUUCUUGGGUCAGCUCAUAGUUGUAUUAGGCUAUGUUAUAUUUUAUAUGCAAUUCUCCAGUGGCUUUAUUACCGAGUUGGAUAAGCUGCACCCGGUAGGGGUGCAGCAAGCUGCACUUAUGUGCCUCUCAUCCUAUUAUACUAUAGCAAAUGGGGUUUACAGUGUAGUGCUUAUUGUUUCAUUACAUUUGAUUAUCCUUCAAUUACCACAUCAUACUCGGUCCUCAUAGGCUUCUCGCACCAUGUGUGUAAUAGGUCAUAUACCAUAAAAUUCAAUGAUAUGGAAGGCAUUUAUGCUUUCACUAACAACAUUCACCAAACACACCCAUCAUGAAGAUUUGCUUAAACAAUUAAAUCAUGUUUGAUAUUGAUAGGACAUGUGACCCUACCGUCUUCAUGUCGUUGUCUUUCCUGCUGGCAGAAGAUACAAGAAUCAGCCAAAGGUUUAUGAGACAAGAGCUAUAUAUCUAUGAGCAUAUUUGCUAAUAUAACUUGCUUUAUAAAACCAAUGUAAGCUAUCAAGUGAUACCCAUGGUUUGAAUGCUCGCUUGCUCUCGGUUUUUGCGCCAUUGGCGCAACGGGUCAUCUAGUUGAACAUAUAAACCUUCAAGAAGUCAUAGGCAGAACCAAGGCCUCCACGUCGCCCCUAAUUCGCUAUAAACAGUAUUGCUGCCACCGCGUGUAAAUUUUGUGCCCCGCCGAGGGCAUUUUGGUCUUUUUACGUGCAGGGUAUAAAUUGCCAAUCCCGUGGAGAAACCCUCGCCGCCGCCUCCCGUCCCACUCGCCUCCCCCUCCUCGUCGCCCUCCUCUCUCUCUCUCUCUCGCUAACCCCUCUCUUUCCCCAUCGCCCUACCCACGCCGGCCGGUUCCGGCAAGCUCCGCCCGCCGCACGCCCCCGAGCUCCCCAAGAUCUGUGCCACUGCGCCGCCGCCUCCUCCCCUCCACUUCUCUCCUCCUCUGCCCCCCACGCAUGGUCGCCGUCACUCGUCUCUGUAGGAGAGAGAGGAUGAGAGGAAGAGAGAGAAGGAAGGAGAGGAGGGAGAAAGAGAGAGGAAAGAGGAGAUGGAGGUGUGUGGGCUGAUGGGAGAAGGUCUCACGCCGGCGUCGGCCUACGUCUGCGAGGUCGGGCGAGAUCUGGCGGUUGGCGGCGGCUCGAUCCGCUCCUGGAUCGGGAGCUGCGAGGAGGCUGGGGCUCUUGGGCGUGCCAUGCGCUGGGGGCUGGAGGAGGCUGGUUUGGUGGUUGCUCAGGUUUGGAGCAGCAAGGAUAUGGGCUGCAUUUUCUUGGAGCAGCAAGCAAUGGAGCCAAGGUGAAUAAGCAACAUAUACUCGAUCGCACUGCUCAAACCAUACAUGCUUGGAAAAAAUUAAUGUGUUCUUAAGAUCUCUAUAGGAUUAAAUGUAUUUGUUUGCAGUACUUUCAUUCUCUGAAAAGAAUGGCGAAUCCAAGAUUUAGCUCCAAAUUAUUGCAUUUUGUUUCAAAAUAGGAUGAUCUUUCCUUGCUGAAUAGACAACAUAUAGGAUAAGAACGUGUAUGAUGCUGAUUUUGGUGGUUUGGACAUGGAUUUGAGGGUGGAGAAUGGCCACAUAAAGGAGGCAUUCAGGACUGUAAGUAUGAAUUAAAUACAUACUACAUAUCUGAUGAAAUGCAGGCACAAGGUGUUCUCGUUAUAGUUGGGUUCCUCAAUCUUUCUAAUGUUUUGUUUUGAUGUUGCAUCGUUUUUUUAUUGCAAGCAUUGAUAUAUGCGCUCAUGCUAGGCAAUAUAAGGUAUUGUCCCAUCAUUUUUUUAUUGUAGGCACUAAAAAAUAAAAGAAAUAAGAGACCACAACAUGUGUUUAACGUACGUUCUUCUCGGUCCUUCUGUGGUUUUAUUUGUCACUUAGGUUGCUGCUUACUAUGAAAAUUAUGUUAACUCACCUGCUUUAUUUCCUUUCAUCAGCAUCUAUUUUGCUGCUUACAUUUUCUGCCUUUUUUCUGCAACGUCCAGGAUCUCCUAGGUUGGUGGAUCUGCGACGUUCCGGUUCCUGCUGUUGGUCAGCCGUUUCUUUGGUCGAGGUCUCUUAUUCCUUUUAUUUUUCACUAGCAGAGAUGGGUUAACUUGUUGCCGGCGGUGUCGUCCCACUGGUAGGGUUCCAGCAAGAUGCUCAAGAAAUUUCUCAUGAAAGUGGAUGAGUAACGUCAUGGCCAGGAUCUUCAAGGGCCAAUGUUGCAUAGCCUUUACCCACUCUGCACUGCCGUAACAUCUCAAGUAGCGACUACUCCCGGUACAUCUUGUGUUGAUCACGAGCAACACCAAGAGAGAUGUCUGGACUAUUUGCAUGCAGCUUACCUCCAGCAGGCCUUCUCAAGCUGAUGAAAUUGGUUCCUUCCAUUUAUUAGCUGGACAGCUAUAGCUGCACAAUGCAAGGGUGAGACUACCAACCGGUGUAGGACAAGGUAUGCACACGGCGUUGCGGGAAGAGGUAGUCAAAGGAGAUAGAUAUGUAGACGGCAUAAUGUAGGCCAAGCGCUAGGGAUGAGGAUAUGGCGUGGCGUGAAGAGGUAGUCCACAAACCUCCGUUCAUUUUCCUGCCUGCUCAUUUCCGGUCCGUUCCGUUCCCCCCUCAUGGCACCCGUGUUCGUGUCUCCUGGCCUGAUGUAUGUGCGUGUGUGGUUCUUCUGCAGCUCGCGGUGAGGAUUGCUGUGUCCAACCUGCCGCCAAGAGGAAAUAGUUUGUGUGGCGCUCGUAAAUAGAGAGUAUUCUGGUCGAAAGGUACAUGAAAGAAUAGGGAAACUUCUGUCAUUUUCUUUGGUCUCUGAAAAAUAAAUGGUGAUAUGGGCUGAUACAUUGCUAAAUUACAAGAUACAAACUCACUUCUCUUUUUUGAUUUUUGGUUUACUUCGUUGUGCUACAAUGGCUCUCCUAGAAAUGUUCUUCCAUGCUUUGAUGUGCACAAUCCAGAAAGUGCAUGCAUCCAGAAACCAAAUAGGAUUUUGUGUGUGUUAUCUUCUCGUAAGUCUUGUGCUCGUCCAAUAAGAAUAAGGUUUGGUGGUAUUGCUUUUGUCUGUCACCCGGUAGAUUUCAGACUUCAAGCUAGCUGCAGUUAUUUCAGGUUAUAUGUGCAAAUCUUUGGUGUGACAUGAUUGGUAACUGACCAUAAAUACGUUGCAAUCUGACAUGUCUAAUUCUUGAUUUAUGUGGUACCAUGGUCUAAAAAUUGGUCCUAAAGAUACAUGAUGUUUUUGUACAAAGUUGAGACAGUUAUUUUGAAACGGAGGGAGUAUUAGAUUAUUUUGUUCCUUUUUAAUUUGGUUCUAAAGAUAUAGUUUCAGAGUGAUCAUUUUGCAUCAGCCAAGCUUGCCGUUGUUACAAAUAAUUGUUUUGUUGUCCUCAAUUCACUUUCGCUACAAGCAUUACUGUUCCAGUUUUUUUUUGUUAUUGAUCAUGCCAUUUUUCUUUCUGCCUUUGUAGCUGAAAGAUUAGUGAGACAGACUAAAUUCUGGACAUGUUCCAUGUGAGAGAAAUAGCAUGUUGAUUUCAUCUUGAAAAUAAUCAUAGCUAAGGGAUGAGGUUCGUAACUGAGGGUCAGAGGAAGAAGUUGCGAGGCUUGAAACUCUCCCUGUGAAGGGCUCAGGGACAGUAGCAAGGACAAUGCCUCUUUAGUUGUAAUUGUGAUACUCCUGAUAUGCAAGUAAACAUUCCUGUGAUACUCCUUAUGCUAAAAUGUUGGUUGUUAGUACAGAGGUGGUGACAUUAUUUGGUUCUCUGGUAUUGAUUUCAUGAUUUAUGGUUAAUACAUGAUGUAAUACAAUCCAUAUUGUAUUAUAUUUCCAGUUACA